GGGCCUGGUAAUCCACCCCUACAUCUGAUCGGAUGGCUGAUCAUGAUGGACAUGAAAAGCAGCUCCAGACAGCAGAGAGAAAAACAGGAAGGAAAACCAGGAGUGAGACUUUCCAGUAACACAUCUAAUAGUAAGUCUGUCAGCAGAGGAACCAUGCAGAUUUUCAUCGGACGGUUGCUUCCGUGAAGUGCGUUAAUGCUGAUAAUGCACUCUUUGAAGGCCAUGAACCCACUUAUACCACGGUCACUUACAAAAGAAAUGAAUAUUCAACCAGUUCCUAGUACUUUAUUCUUGUUAUUAUUUUUGUUUGGAUCGCUUUUUUCCCAAAAAGGGGCCUAUUUGUUGGGUGGCGUGUUGCCCUUUGCCGGCUUAGCCACCGUGGACCUUGAGUGCAGCGGAAAGGAAAGCUAUAUUUAUGCUGAUGGUCUCGAUGGGUUAAAUACAGCAUCCGUUCAGAGAGAAAGCUCACCUCUUACCGCUUGUUUUGAUGAUACUGAUGAUACUACAGAUGAUGAAGAUUUGAAGAAGCCAGCGCAGUGAUACAGAACAUUUAAGCUAAGUGACCGGAACUUCUCUUUUAGGCGUGCAUUAUCCCAUUUUAAUGAACACCCAGCAGCCAAUCAGAAUCAAGAAUUCACCCGGACUGUGGUAUAAUCUCUGUUAAACCAAAAGCUUUUCUUUAGUCCUGAAUGCUCUGCAGUUAGAGUUCCUUCAUGACUACCAGACAGACCAACCUGCAGGUCUGAAUGACCUAAACCAACAGGAAAUAAUGACUUCAUCUUCACAGUUUCUGCAAAUUUCUGAAACCUUUCAUGUUCUUUUAUUUUUUUCCAGAUAAAGCAGCUUUCAAGUGAGUAAAGUGCUGCUGUGCAAACAUCCUCCGCGGGACGGCAGUGAUCGGUACGCCAGCCAAGGCUGAGGGGCUGUUAGGACCACAGGCAUCCACAUCCAGAAUCACUCCAGUUUGUGAUGGAGGAGGAGGGGGGAGAAGAAAGGACACGUGACAAACCUGAAAAGCUUUCCGACACCUUAGGAUUUUUUCAGACCUCUGGAAGGAAGCGGCUUCCUGUGAGGGCUGCUGUUGAGCUGAAGCAGGAACGUUUGUUCUCCAUCAUCCUGCAGAGACUCCACCAUGAGGGGGAGGAAGCAGCAGAAAGGGACUCUGCUUCAUUCACAGAGUACUUAUAUUUGCAGAUGAAACCGUCUUUUUCUGUGCUGAUCACAGGGAAGAAAGGAGGAAAACCAGGCAGAAGAAAGGAGGAACAAGGCAGCAGACGCAGGAGGAAGCUGCUGCAGGUGCAGAAACUGCUGGAGUCUCAGAGACCGUUCUGCCCCAUCAAACCAGCACAUGUGCUCCAGGCACAACCCAAGUGGAUGUUUUUGAUCUGA
rnacentral:lncRNA from 1 species